AACGCAUAAAGUCUUGUAGGUGAUUUACACUGGGGUUCGUCAUUGUAAAUUGUAUAAUAUGCUCAAGCUACUGCAGACAAUGGCGUAAAUGCAAGUGCUGUGUCGAUAUACCCAUCAGCCGUUGGCUGCUAUCGAGACUACGCAUUAUUAUGUUUACGAUGCGAAAAGUAGCAGUCGACCGAUGAUGACUCCGUAGCCGAGAUGAGACAAUGAAGCCCGUGAGAUAUCUUGAGGUCGUUAGUACUAGCCACUCGAAAUGAAUAACUUGCGUCGAAGGUCAAGAGAACCGAAGCGUGUGUGUAGCUCAGCGGUCCUGCUGAAACGCAAGGGAUCUGCGAAUAUCUUCAGCGUAGAGACCUCUGCGCCUGUAGAGGCCGUUUCUCCCGGGGCCGGUAGUCCACAAAUAACUUACGCGAUCUCUAAAACAAGUCACUUUGGUAAUGAGAAUAUUUUCAGCUCUUCGCGCGAGGCAGGGAAAAUCGUAUCUGUUAGCUCGGACCAAAGGGGUCAUCGUAAAGUUAAGCUUGCCCCAUUGUGCUAUUCGCUAAGAUGGACCUUCCGGCUGGUUUACCUGGUCGCAUUGUUCGCUACGGCGUUGGCUGUUACCGUGGCGUGCAUGCUACUGACGGUCGUCACGUCCUAUUCGACUACCUGGCGUCUUCUCUAUAUUCCUAUAAUCGGAACGGCUACACUGUCGGUGGUCACCAUCGUAGUAUUCAAAGCAACACAACCUGACAUCGAGAUCUGGCAUCAGUUGAACUCGCUAGAGCCGGUAUGGUAAGCUUUUGCACUUACCGCCCUCACCUGUCUGGUAUCUAAUUAGCCGCGAUGAUGACUCGCUCCGCACCGGACCUUCGCGGCGGACGACAACCGGAGUUCGUUCGUGAUACCCCACCGCGAGUGUAUCUCAACAACACCCGCCAUCUUCAACCGCACAUGAAGAAAAUGAAAUGCAAACACGGUAGCAGAUUUCAUUGGUACACUCUUCCAAGACGCCGAUGGUUGUUCGUUACGCACCGAAAAAGUAAAUUUCAAUGUACGCUACCGAGACCGCGUGUUCGAAUGCGUUAUGAUGACAGAAAAGCUGACGCCAUGUUUGUGCCACAUUUAAAUGAUGCAAUGAUUAACAAUUACUAUCUGAAUCGAGAGUUGCCGGAGCACCAGUUUUACCAAAGCAGCCUUUUUGGUGCGUCGCGAAGAUCGCUCUACGGUCGCCGAAGCAGCAUAAUGAGUGACAUGUCUCUUGUCAGCCAACGAAGGAGGAUACAACGUCUUCGUUGGGAGAUUAAAGCCUGCGAGAUGUACGAAGAAUUGCAACGUCGUAAUGCUAAAACAGGAUACACACCGCAGCAAAGUCCAACCGGCACCCCCUCAACGAGACUAUCCCAACGAUCGAAAAUAAUCAAUGACGCAAUUAUCAAGUACUGGUUGAGUCCGUAUGAUCCCACUGAAGGAACCGUUGUAUUACAUGUUUAGCGGAUCGGCCGUCUUUGGCUGUAUAUUAUUAAUGUAGAUUUACUAGAUUUGAUUUUUUGUUUAUGCAUAUUCACUUCUUUUUACAUAUACUAUUUUAUUCUGCUACGCGUGCGUCAU